rnacentral:rRNA from 1 species
GGAAGUCUUCCACAAUGGGCGGAAAGACCUGAUGGAGCAACGCCGCGUGUGUGAUGAAGGGUUUCGGCUCGUAAAACACUGUUGUAAGAGAAGAAUGACAUUGAGAGUAACUGUUCAAUGUGUGACGGUAUCUUACCAGAAAGGAACGGCUAAAUACGCGCCAG